UACGUAGGGUGCAAGCGUUAAUCGGAAUUACUGGGCGUAAAGCGUGCGCAGGCGGUUAUGUAAGACAGGUGUGAAAUCCCCGGCUUAACCUGGGAACUGCAUUUGUGACUGCAUAGCUAGAGUACGGUAGAGGGGAUGGAAUUCCGCGUGUAGGCAGUGAAAUGCGUAGAUAUGCGGAGGAACACCGAUGGCGAAGCAGCUCGCUGGACGUUGACUGACACUAAGCGCGAAAGCGUGGGGAGCGAACAGG
rnacentral:rRNA from 1 species